rnacentral:lncRNA from 1 species
GCUUGUAGGUGGCGGGACGGGAUUCAUUGGGACAGCCCUAACACAGCUACUGAAAACCAAGGGCCACGAAGUUAAGUUGGUCUCCAGACAGCCUGGCCCGGAUCGAAUUACGUGGACUGAGCUCAGCAGGUCGGGGCUGCCCCUCUGUGAUGUUGUCAUCAACCUGGCUGGAGAGAACAUCCUCAACCCUCUGCGAAGGUCAACAGGGCCACAAAGCUGAUAGCCCCUGCGCAGGGGGAGAGGGUCAACGCCUGUGAGCUGUGCAUGGUAGACAUACACCGUGCAAAUGCCCCUUAAGCCUUCCGAGCCUGUUAUAUAUCCGUGUCUAAUAAAACACAGUGUUGCGGAUGAAGAGAUACGGUCCAUGACUAUUGGGGUGGGGGGAGGACACCUGGCCGACUGGGAGGCGAGUUGGAUGAGGAGGGAGGACACGGGUUAGUUGCAUAUCUGUACUGCUUUUUCCUUCAUCUUCUCUGCAGAUGGAAUGAAACCUUCCAAAAGGAGGUUCUUACCAGCCGCCUGGAUACCACCCACUUGCUAGCUAAAGCCAUCACGGAAGCUGCACAACCACCUCAGGCCUGGAUACUAGUCACAGGUGUAGGUAUGCCCCCAAAUCACCAACCUCUUACAUUACCAGGGAGCCAGGGAGAACAGAGCAAGUAGUUCAAGCCCUUGGGGCCUGUAG